AGAGUUUGAUCCUGGCUUAGGAUGAACAUUGGCCUAGCACAUGUAAGUCAUAUAUGAUUUGGUUUAUUUAAGUGGCGAAUGGGUGAGCAAUGCGUAAUAAUCUUACUUUCGGAGGGGAAUAACAAUCAAAAACUUUUGUUAAUACCCCAAAACAAGGCUGAGGAGCAAAAGAUGGAAUCCACCUUUAGAGGGGAUGGCGUCUUAUCCAUUAGUUUGCGAGGCAUUAGUUUACCAAAGCAAUGAUAAGUAGAUGGCCUGAGAAAAUGAUCAUCCACACAGGGACUAUGAAAUGACCCAGAAUCUUAGGUGAGGCACCAAUGAUGAUUUUUUACAAAGGGCAAAAGUGAGGAAUGUCGCAUGGAAGCCUAGGGCCUUUGGGUCAUAAACUACUUUUCUCAGAGAAUAAUAAAUGAAGGAAUUUGAGGAAUAAGCAUCAGAUAACUCUGUGCUAACACCAGUUCAAGAUAGAGGAUGUAAGUGUUAUCCAUAAUUAUUUGGCGUAAAGCGUUAAUAGGUGGUUGAAGUUUGUUAUCGAGUACUAGGGCUUAACCCUAGUUAGUCGGUUGAAACUAUUAAGCUGGAAUGUGGAUAUGGGCAGAGGGAAUAUCAUGCGUAACAGUGAAAUACAUAAAGAUCAAAGAGAACACUAAUGGCAAAAGAAUUGUGUUAAGGUAAGAAAUGGGAUACCUCAAUGAUCUUAUCCACAAAUAAUGGAUGCCAAGUAUUGUGCGUAUUGACCGUGUAGUAUUAUAGUUAACAUGUUAAGUAUCAUUCCUUGGGAGUACAUUCUCAAGAACAAAACUCAAGGGACUUCACGGGGUCAACACACGCGGCGAAGCAUGUGGUUUUAUUCGAUGCAAAGCGAAGAACCUUACCAAAUCUUGACAUGUCAUUAAUCCUCGUGAAAAAGAGGGGGGCUCUCAAGAACAUGAACACAUGUGGUGCAUGGUUGUCGAAAGCUCGUACCCUAAGGUGUUAUGUUAAGUUUUUCAUUAAGCCCAACCCUCAUGUUUAGUUUCCAUCUCUUAAUUUGUAGAACCCUGAACAUGCUGCUAGCAAGAAGCUAAGAAGAUGUGAGAACAAUAUCAAGUCAUCAUGCCCUUUAUGACCUGACCAACACAUGUGAUACAAUGACCAGGACAAAAGUCAUAAUUUCACAAGGAUGAGCUAACCCAAAACUCGGCCUCAGUUUAAAUUGUAGGCUGCAACUCACCUUUAUGAAGUUGUAAUUACUAGUAAUUAAUAGUAUUAUAAAAUAAUUGUUUACUAAUUGAUAUUUAAAUAUAUUAAUUAUAAAUUAAGACAUUGAAUAUGCUAAAAUAAUUAAUAAAUAACAAGGGGGUCAAUUAUAUUUAGAGAGAAGCUG
rnacentral:rRNA from 1 species